AUUGAACGCUGGCGGCAUGCUUUACACAUGCAAGUCGAACGGCAGCGCGGGCUUCUGCCUGGCGGCGAGUGGCGAACGGGUGAGUAAUACAUCGGAACGUGCCCAGUAGUGGGGGAUAGCACGGCGAAAGCCGGAGGAAUACCGCAUACGACCUGAGGGUGAAAGCGGGGGAUCUUCGGACCUCGCGCUAUUUGAGCGGCCGAUGGCGGAUUAGCUAGUUGGUGGGGGAAAGGCCUACCAAGGCGACGAUCUGUAGCUGGUCUGAGAGGACGACCAGCCACACUGGGACUGAGACACGGCCCAGACUCCUACGGGAGGCAGCAGUGGGGAAUUUUGGGCAAUGGGCGAAAGCCUGAUCCAGCAAUGCCGCGUGUGUGAUGAAGGCCUUCGGGUUGUAAAGCACUUUUGGCGGGAACGAAAAGGACUGUGCCAAUACCACGGUUCGAUGACGGUACCCGCAGAAUAAGCACCGGCUAACUACGUG
rnacentral:rRNA from 1 species